ACACAUGCAAGUCGAGCGGAUGAAAGUAGCUUGGCUACUGGAUUCAGCGGCGGACGGGCGAGUAAUGCUUAGGAAUCUGCCUAUUAGUGGGGGACAACGUCUCCGAAAGGAGCGCUAAUACCGCAUACGUCCUACGGGAGAAAGCAGGGGACCUUUGGGCCUUGCGCUAAUAGAUGACCCUAAGGCGCCUGUUCUAAUUGGUAGGG
rnacentral:rRNA from 1 species